UGCUUGACCAAGAAAAUUAAAAAUAAAAUCAGUUGUUUCUCUCUAGAUCAAGACUAAUCUAGAGAGAGAGCCUACACAACUCAAACACUUUCACAUUCAUUCGUUUGAGUUUCAGCUUUGAGUUUCGUUGUUGAAAGUUGUGAAGUUCCUUCUCCUGAUUUGUUUGUUUGUUUGUUUGUUUGCAUUUCCAAAGUUUGAGUUUAAAUUGAAUUAAAUCGAGUUAAAUUUAAGAUAAGACAAAGUUAACACAAGAACAACGACUUGAAGAACAGAAGCAAGGCAAAAAAAGGUGUCUCCUUUUGUUACUGUUAUUGUUUGAUCAAGUCUCUUGUUCUUGAUCUAAGUCUCAAGAUUGUGUCUUUAUGAAUCUUUGUUGGUGAAGAUGGAGCAGCAGCAGAGCCAAUCUUCCAAUGUUCUUAGAGGGUAUAGAGUUCAAGCUCCAUUGGUUGAUUCUGUAUCAUGCUAUUGCAAAGUAGAUUCUGGACUAAAGACUGUUGCUGAAGCUAGGAAAUUUGUCCCAGGUUCAAAACUUUGUAUCCAGCCUGAUAUCAAUCCUGAUGCACACAAAAGCAAAAACUCACGUAGGGAGAGGAGCAGAGUCCAGCCACCACUCCUCCCUGGGCUUCCUGAUGAUCUUGCUAUUGCAUGUUUGAUACGAGUUCCUCGUGCUGAACAUCGAAAACUUCGUUUGGUUUGUAAGAGAUGGUCUCACCUCCUAAAUUCCAACUUUUUUUAUUCUCUUAGAAAAAGCCUGGGAAUGGCUGAAGAGUGGGUUUAUGUCUUCAAGCGAGAUCGUGAUGGAAAGAUCUCGUGGAAUGCUUUUGAUCCUGUCUAUCAGCUCUGGCAACCCCUUCCACCAGUUCCUAAAGAAUAUUCAGAAGCUUUAGGUUUUGGCUGUGCUGUUCUUAGUGGUUGUAACUUGUACUUAUUUGGAGGAAAAGACCCAUUGAGGGGCUCUAUGCGACAGGUCAUCUUCUACAAUUCACGGACUAAUAAAUGGCAUAGGGCACCUGGUAUGCUUCGGAAACGUCAUUUCUUUGGUUCUUGUGUUAUAAAUAACUGCCUUUAUGUGGCUGGUGGGGAAUGUGAAGGAACCCAAAGGACUCUCCGAUAUGCUGAAGUUUAUGAUCCUAACAAGCACCGGUGGCGCUUUAUUUCAGAUAUGAGCACAGCAAUGGUGCCCUUUAUAGGAGUUGUCUAUGAUGGAAAGUGGUUUCUAAAGGGCCUUGGGUCCCACAAUGAAGUCAUGAGUGAAGCCUAUGAUCCUGAAACAAAUGCCUGGACUCCAGUCAGUGCUGGUAUGGUUGCAGGUUGGCGUAACCCGAGCAUCUCUUUAAAUGGACGGCUUUAUGCUUUGGAUUGCCGGGAUGGAUGCAAACUUAGGGUUUAUGAUGGAGCAACAGACACUUGGAGCAGAUUUAUAGAUAGCAAAAUUCAUAUGGGGAGAUCACGUGCAUUUGAGGCUGCGGCAAUUGUUCCCCUGAAUGGGAAGCUUUGCAUCAUCCGCAACAACAUGAGCAUUAGUCUGGUUGAUGUUUCUAGUCCUGACAAACAAAUUGAGACUAACCCUCACCUAUGGGAAAACAUUUCUGGGAAAACUGGUCAUUUAAGGGCUCUUGUUACAAAUUUAUUGUCUAGCAUAGCUGGCCGAAGUGGUCUGAAAAGUCAUAUUGUUCACUGUCAGGUGCUGCAAGCAUGAGUUUUAGUAGUACUUUGCUCAUUCUUCCCAUACCAUUCUUGUAUUUCCGUCACAAAGUGCAGUUUCACCUAUUUGGGAAUCUGCACUUUGUGAGACAGAAAGCUGCAUAUGCUAUCUUUACCACACUGUUCUUGCAGCUUUGUGGAGAUUGAAUCAAUAGUGAUAUUCUGUGGGAGUGACUUCUAGUCACUCUUGUCAAGUUGUUUUAUCAUGUGGAGGCUUGAGAAGGCAAAAAUGAAGGAUAAUUUUAUGCGUGUUUUAAGAAGCUUACUAGAACAUUCAUAUGCGAGGCCACUUUGGUGACUGAUGACACCUUUCAUGUCAUCAUGUAUUCACAAGUCAAGGUUGAUUCGCUGUUGAUUUCGGCAAUAGAAUUAUAAGGCCAUUCCUUAACAUUCAUGAAGCGAGAGCAGAUACUGAUCAUCUCCUGAUAGUGUUUGAACGACUCCUCUCUGAAUGAAAGCAUAGGCUUGAACAUUGAUGUCUUCCUUCUCUUUAUCCUCUACUACAGUCAGCUUCCUUGUCCGCUCUUUUUUCUUCAUAUCUCCUUUCAUUCAUCUCAUUAUGACACUCCAUAUAAAUGCUCGACUGAUCAAGUUGAGUUUCCACCUUUCACAAAUUCGAAGUAAUUGAGUCAUGUCUUUGCAUUGAUCACGAAACAUGACAACCUAAAUGUAUCCCUUUGUUCAGAAGUUACGAAGUUGGUGUGACUAAAAGCCAAAAAAAAAAAAUAAAAAAAAAAACAGCAGAAAGAAGCCAUUGGAUUGAUAGGAUUUGGUUGCUUAUUAUAAGCUCAGAAGCAAAAGCUUACAAAAAGAAUGCCUUAAUUUAUUGGCAACUUAUUAUUGAAAGUGAACUUUUCUUUCUUUUAAAGGCCUUGUAUUGUGUCAUUCUCUAUUGACGAUUUCUUAAAUUAUGGAUGAAACAUUUUGAUUC